GGGGCUAUAGCUCAGUGGUAAAGUAUUUGACCGUAGCUCAAGCGGUCCCUGGGUCAUAUCUAGAUGCCCUUU